rnacentral:rRNA from 1 species
GACGAACGCUGGCGGCGUGCUUAACACAUGCAAGUCGAACGGAAAGGCCCUGCUUUUGUGGGGUGCUCGAGUGGCGAACGGGUGAGUAACACGUGAGUAACCUGCCCUUGACUUUGGGAUAACUUCAGGAAACUGGGGCUAAUACCGGAAAGAACCUCCUGCUGCAUGUGGGGGGUGGGAAAGUUUCGGCGGUUGGGGAUGGACUCGCGGCUUAUCAGCUUGUUGGUGGGGUAGUGGCUUACCAAGGCUUUGACGGGUAGCCGGCCUGAGAGGGUGACCGGCCACAUUGGGACUGAGAUACGGCCCAGACUCCUACGGGAGGCAGCAGUGGGGAAUAUUGCACAAUGGGCGGAAGCCUGAUGCAGCAACGCCGCGUGCGGGAUGACGGCCUUCGGGUUGUAAACCGCUUUCGCCUGUGACGAAGCGUGAGUGACGGUAAUGGGUAAAGAAGCACCGGCUAACUACGUG